GUUUUACCAACAUCAACCAUUGAAAUAAGUAAAAUUAGAAAAUGUAUUUAUAAACACACUGUAAAUUUAACAAAUCAUCAGAAAUUCGAAAAUGGUACAUAUCAAUAUAAAGGAAUAUUAAUACCACCCGAAAGUCAAACUCUCUAUGAUACACACUAUUUCUUGGGAAAUCAGAGAUCGGUUGCCGAGCAUGUGAGAGGUUGUGUUUGUGAUCAACAUCCUUGCCUCAAAUUGUGUUGCUCCGAGGAUGAGUAUUUCAAUGAAACGAGUGAAAAGUGUGAAAAAUUAAUGACGAAUAUAAAAGUGCUUUGGGAAAUACUAAUAGAAAAGUAUAUUGGUAAAUAUAAGAAUGUGAAUAUUUUGAAGGAUUUUACCACUGUCAAAUAUGACAAUUGCUGGGAACCGAAGACAUUGACUAAGAUUGCAGGCAAUUGGACAUUUUCUGUGUUUUCUUUUUCCCAGGACGGAUUCUUACGAACAAAUGAUGGUAUUCUGGACAUUUCUGAAUUUUGUUUCUCACCAAGUUUGAUGGAUAAUUAUAUAUAUAUAUUGAAACCAUAUACAUGUCGCUUACUCGACGAUGGAUCCAGGAAAAAAAUAAUACAUGAAUACAGCCUAUAUGUAUCGGUUUUCUUUCAAGUACCCACCCUCUUGUUGUACAUAGUCUUACAAGAACUAAGGAAAAGUCUGGCUGGUAAAAUAUUUUUUUGUUAUCUUUUCUCGAUGACAAUGGGUAAUGUCAUGUUUUGUUUGCUAAUAAUAUUCCGUUUGCUAUUUAAUGCUAUAGUACUUCUUA